rnacentral:rRNA from 1 species
AUGAACGCUGGCGGCGUGCCUCAUCCCUGCAAGUCGAGCGAACGGACGAGAAGCUUGCUUCUCUGAUGUUAGCGGCGGACGGGUGAGUAACACGUGGAUAACCUACCUAUAAGACUGGGAUAACUUCGGGAAACCGGAGCUAAUACCGGCUAAUAUUUUGAACCGCAUGGUUCAAAAGUGAAAGACGGUCUUGCUGUCACUUAUAGAUGGAUCCGCGCUGCAUUAGCUAGUUGGUAAGGUAACGGCUUACCAAGGCAACGAUGCAUAGCCGACCUGAGAGGGUGAUCGGCCACACUGGAACUGAGACACGGUCCAGACUCCUACGGGAGGCAGCAGUAGGGAAUCUUCCGCAAUGGGCGAAAGCCUGACGGAGCAACGCCGCGUGAGUGAUGAAGGUCUUCGGAUCGUAAAACUCUGUUAUUAGGGAAGAACAUAUGUGUAAGUAACUGUGCACAUCUUGACGGUACCUAAUCAGAAAGCCACGGCUAACUACGUG